rnacentral:lncRNA from 1 species
GGGAUGGCCACGCCCACAUUGGGCUGUGCCACUAAACCACACCCACAUUGCGUCACAGCAAAGCCACGCCCACAAUGGCACACCCUAUUAAGCCACACCCCCAUUGCGGUCACAGCCAGGCCACGCCCCCAAUCAAGCAACGCACAAAUUAGUUGUGCUCUAAUUAAGCCACACCCACUCAUGCCACACCCCCGUUUGGUCACACCCAAACCACGCCCACAAUCAAGUCACACCCCACAUUAACUGUGCUGUAGCUAAGCCACACCCACCUGCCACACCCUCUUAAGCCACACCCACAUUGUGUCACACCCAUUUAAGCCACACCCCAAAUUAUGUGUUCCAUUAAAGCCACACCCACCGUGCCACACCCUCUUAAGCCACACCCUAUAUCUGGGUCACACCUAUUUAAGCCACGCCUCAGAUAAACCACACCCUCUUAAGCCACACCCAACUAAGCCACACCCACACAAACCACGCCCAUUCCCAGUUCCCACCUCCUGUCCCUGAGACCACACCCCUUUUCCUAAACCCCACCCCCUCCAUUCCUUGAGGCCCCGCCCACCUUGGUGCUGCCGGGGGCGGAGCCAUCGCGGCCCAAUGAGGACACGGAGCUGCUGUCCCCGCCCGGGCCCCGCCCAGGGGAGGAGCCUCCGUCCAGCCCCAGCUCCUCCAGCCCUGCCGGCCCCGAGCCUGCAGCUCCUGCAGCUGCUGCAGCUCCUGCUGCGCCUGCGCCUCCUGCCGCGCCCUGCCACAGCCCAAAGACACCCCAAAACCAUCAGGGACACCCCAAAACCAUCAGGGACACCCCAAAGACAUCAGGGACACCCCAAAGACAUCUGGGACACCCCAAAACCAUCAGGGACACCCCAAAAACAGCCCAAAGACACCCCAAAACCAUCAGGGACACCCCAAAGAUCAUCUGGGACACCCCAAACACCCCAAAACCAUCAGGGACACCCUAAACACCCCAAAGACACCCCAAAAGCAUCAGGGACACCCCAAACACCCCAAAACCAGCCCAAAAACAUCCUGGGGCACCCCAAAGACACCCCAAAAGCAUCAGGGACACCCCAAACAGCCCAAAACCAUCAGGGACACACCAAAAUCAUCUGGGGCACCCCAAAAAUCAUCUGGGACACCCCAAGCACUCCAAAACCAUCAGGGAUGCCCCAAAAUCCACCUGGGACACCCCAAAACCACCCUAAAACAGCCCAAAACCAUCAGGGACACCCCAAAGACGUCAGGGACACCCCAAAAACCUCCCAAACCACCCCAAAAUCAUCAGGCACGGCCCCAAAACCACCCUAAAGACAUCCUGGAACCCAAAAUCCCCCAGAGAGCCCAAAAUUUCCCCCAAAUCCCCCAAAAUUUCCCCCAAAUCCCCCAAAAUUCCCCAAAUCCCCCAAAAUUCCCCAAAUCCCGGAUUUUUUUGACCCCUCCCCUUUUU